CCUACGGGAGGCAGCAGUGGGGAAUUUUGGACAAUGGGGGCAACCCUGAUCCAGCAAUGCCGCGUGAGUGAAGAAGGCCUUCGGGUUGUAAAGCUCUUUUGUCAGGGAAGAAACACCGGCUCUAACACAGUCCGGGAAUGACGGUACCUGAAGAAUAAGCACCGGCUAACUACGUGC
rnacentral:rRNA from 1 species